AUACGGAGGAUGCAAGCGUUAUCCGGAUUUAUUGGGUUUAAAGGGUGCGUAGGCGGUUUGCUAAGCGGGAGGUGAAAUGCCGGCGCUCAACGUCGGAAGUGCCUCCCGAACUGGUGGACUGGAAUGACUCUGCCGUGGGAGGAAUGUGUAGUGUAGCGGUGAAAUGCUUAGAGAUUACACAGAACACCGAUUGCGAAGGCAUCUCACGAAGGGUUGAUUGACGCUGAGGCACGAAAGCGUGGGGAUCAAACAGGAUUAGAUACCCUGGUAGUCCACGCAGUAAACGAUGAUGGCUAACCGUCGGCGAUACACAGUCGGUGGCCAAGCGAAAGCGAUAAGUCAUCCACCUGGGGAGUACGUUCGCAAGGCUGAAACUCAAAGGAAUUGACGGGG
rnacentral:rRNA from 1 species